rnacentral:lncRNA from 1 species
CUUGGCAUGGAUGUUUGUUUGGUGAGAAUAAAAUUUAGUCGAAAACUAAAUAACUUAACAGGGAAAAUAGGUAUAUAUUUUUUAUCUAAUUAUGGCUAUUGGACAAGCUUAUUGUAGUUGACGUACUAAUUGCAAAACUUGUUAUUACUAAAACGUGAUAUAAACUACAGGCAUAGGCACUAAGCAUGGCCUAUUUCCCUUUAAUGUCGGCUG